rnacentral:rRNA from 1 species
UACGUAGGGUCCGAGCGUUGUCCGGAAUUACUGGGCGUAAAGCGUGCGCAGGCGGUUUUGUAAGUCUGUCGUGAAAGCCCCGGGCUCAACCUGGGAAUUGCGAUGGAGACUGCAAGGCUUGAAUCUGGCAGAGGGGGUAGAAUUCCACGUGUAGCAGUGAAAUGCGUAGAGAUGUGGAGGAACACCGAUGGCGAAGGCAGCCCCCUGGGUCAAGAUUGACGCUCAUGCACGAAAGCGUGGGGAGCAAACAGG